rnacentral:precursor_RNA from 15 species
GGAUCUCUAGGCUCCUUCUGGCUCUCAGACUUCCUAAUCCCCCUGCAUGUUUGAAUAGCUGGAUCUAACCAUGCCAGGGGCGCUGGGAGGUUUGCGAGUUCUUCAUGGCAUCGGCUCCUUU